AUGUAAAUCUCUUUACUAUUCGGGUGUUUCCAGUCACCAGAAAGAAAUUCAUGUACCUUGUUGUCCACCUCAAUUGAACUGCAACCUGGCUCCUUUUGGACCCCACUUUGCUUCAUCAUUGACCUUACUCUUGCAACCCCGUCCCAAUUGCCAGUAGCUGCAUAUAUAUUAGAAAGAAGAACAAAAGUUCCUGAAUUUGCAAUUUUAUGCUCCACAAGAGAUCCCGCAAUAACCUCUGCCAAAUUCAGGUUUCCAUGAAGUCUACAUGCAGCAAGUAGAGUUCCCCAUAAAACAGGAUCCGGGUCAAUCUUCAUGUUCUUAAUGAGCUGAUAUGCAUCUUCCAAGUGCCCAGCACGGCCAAGAAGAUUUACCAUACAUCCAUAAUGCUCAACCUUAGGCUGAAACCCAUAUUCAUCUUUCAUUAAAUUGAAAAAGGCCCAACCUUCAGAGAUCAGUCCAGCAUUAGCACAAGCAUUUAAAAUACCAAGAAAUGUUAUAUCAGUUGGUUCAACACACAUUCGACGCAUCUCAUUAAACAACUCUAAUGCUUCUCGGCUAAGCCCAUGCAUUGCAUAUCCCAGAAUCAUGGAAUUCCAUGCAACAACAUCCUUCAAGAUCAUUCCAUCAAACACUGCCCUAGCAUCCUCCAAACUUCCACAUUUGCUGUACAUAUCAACCAAAGCAGUACCAACAUGGACAUUUAUUUUAAUGCCAUUAUUCUUCAGGUAAGCAUGAACCCACAGGGCUGACUCCAAAGACCCCAAUUGCCCACAUGCAGAAAGAAUUGCAAGCAUAGUCACUUCAUUAGGCUUCACCUUUGCCGAUAACAUCUGCCUAAAAAGUACUAGAGCUUCAUUUGGCCUUCCAUGCUGAGUAUACCCAUCAAUCAUCACAUUCCAGCAGACUACAUCCCUGUCAUCCAUCUCAUUGAACAAAGCUCUCGCCUCAUCAACAUCCCCACUCUUUGCAUACCCAGUAAUCAUUGCCGUCAAUGAAACCAAACUUCUUUCAGGCAUUGUGUCAAACAAUUGACGGGCAGACACCACAUCACCACUUCUUGCAUAAAUAUCCACAAGUGCAGUUCUCACAUAUGUAUCACAGUCAAAUCUGAACUUGAGGGCUUGGCAAUGAAGAGCUCGCCCAAGAUCAAAAGGGCAAGCUUUAAGGAUAGCCGAGAACGUAAAUGCAUUGGGUUCAACGUUUUCCAUGAGCAUUUGAACGUAGUAAACCAAAGCUUCAUUAUGAAGAUUAUUCAUGGCAUGGCUAUGAAUGAUGGUAGUGUAAAAGAAAACAUUGGGAUUGUGAGAUUUCUUGAAAAGUGUAACUGUCUGUUGAAGAUAGCCAAAAGAAGAGUAAGAGCGCUGGAGCUUGAAAUUCAAGACAGGGUAAUUUUCAAAGCCAUGACGCAUGAGGAAUGCAUGAAUUUGUCGAAUGUGAUUGAUGGUUUUUGAUUUGUCGAUAAAAAAUGCAAGGUUAUCAGGAGAUGGUGGAGAAUAAUUUUUCUUGAUGGUUGUUUUGGUCGGUGUAAGUGUUGGUGGAGCGGUAAAAAGGGAAGUUGAAGACAUGAUUUACUAGCUGCGCCCCCAAAGCUUAGCUUUCACAAGAUUCAAGUUGUCAGAGAAACAAUUAAACCUGAAUGCUGGAGGGUCAUUACUGGUGCAAGCAUCUAAGAUAUCCAUUCUAUGUAAGACUAAGUAAACGCUGGACUAGCUGAGGAGUCAAUUUCUGCAGCAAGCAAUUUCCCUUGUUGAGAUAAAACCCGGAAUUAGUGCCUAACAGAUUAGAACUCAGGAAAAAUCAUGUAAGAUACACUUGAAAUAAAUGGAACAAGUUAAGAAGUGACAAACAAUUAUAGGCACUAGCGCAUGUUGGUGUUUUUAGUUAAUUUCAGAAAUUUUUGUACUAUCGGUUUAUUCAUUGCAAGUAAAGAGGUACGUCAAUCAAUUACAGAAGUUACCUUGAAAUGUCAUGUUUGUCGCAAUGCAUUUCGACUAUACAGCCUACGAAUACAGAUUUUUUACUGAAAAAAAGUCAGAGGCUUAAAAAAGAGAAACUCAAAGAAUUUUCUGGAAUUUUUUUGUUACUUCUCUACUCUACUAGAGUUGGAUUUCUGACAACUCUUACUGUAAUUUCCCUCCUUUUAUUUUCUUUUCUUUUCUUGCACCAGCUUGCCUUGUGAAGUCCUAGAAGAGCAAUAUGAAACCAAAGAAAGAAGAACAAUCUAAGCACAUCAACCUACUUCCUCCCGGAAAAGUUCACCUUGUGUAUCAAUUAUCAGCCAAACUUCAGAAGAAUUCCUCCUCGAACUGUUAUCUUUUGUGCACUUAAAUAGAGAAUGAUGCGCUCUUCCACUUACUAAUCUUUUGUAAAAGCUCUUGGUUCUACCAUUUCAAUUCCAUGAAGAUAGAGAAUGUAUUAACAAACUUCUAAUUUUCCAUCAAAUAUUGCUGGUAGAAUCUCAUAUUCAUCAUUUACAACCAUUGAAUAACAUAAUCUCGAAUUGGCACAGUAAAAAACUACCUCAAAACCCACAAGGGUCACAUCAAAAUCGAAACAUAAUGAGAUAUUUAAGCCAGUAAUUGCUUCAAACAGUUGGCAGGCAUCUUCAACUACCUUACUUAAUUCACACUAUACAAACGCUAGUUGAUUUCUUUUGUGCAUUCCCAAUGUUCGGGUACGUGGAUUUACAGCUAAAUUUGCAGUUAGAUAUUGUGGUCAAGUACAGAAAGACUACUAGAGAUAGAGAAGAUGUAUUCACCUGAGGAGCUUGAUAACUGCUGCUUAGGAGUCGGAGAGAAAUGGCGGAGGGAAGAAAGAUGGAGCCAUGCUGAUUAGUCCAUUUCUGUUUUCCUUUCCUUUCAGGAUAGCUUUGCGGAGAUGGAUUUGUUUGCGACGUCGUUUCCUGUCGUUGUUUACUCCCUAUUUGCUACUAGAGAAUAUUUCCUAGUAGCAUUUAUUUCUCAUUAACAUUAUUUGAGUAAUUUCACUUUUUCCUUCAAAAAAAAAAAGUGAUUUCAUUUUGGUUACUAUUUCCAAAUUGAGACUUUUUAUUCGUCUGAGGUAAAUUUUUCCCAAACCCUUUAACAAGAGCACAUGUCAGCCAAACCGUACUAGUUGUUUUUAUUCUUAAUAUGGAAUUGAGUCCUCAAAUGCUGGAAAAUCAAUUCCGUAAAAAAAUCAACUUUUCAAAAUUUCACUUGGCGCAUUAAAAUAUAGUUAAAAAAUGAAUCAAAUUAUUUGAUACUCGAAUUGAACUCGACUUGAUAAAAACUCGUUCAAAUUUAGUUCGUUAACUAAUCAAACCAAAUUUGAAUAAUGUUUUAUAUUUGAUAACAUUAUUCAAAUUCGAUUAAAAAAAUAACUCUCUCGAACUUGAUUUGACAAAUAAAUAAGUCAAAUUUGAACAAAAUUUCAUAUUCGUUAAAAUAAUCAAAUAAGUUUCAACUAGAAUAUUCAACUUAAUUAAGUUCAUUUACACCCCUACAUCAAAAAAUUCAAAAUUAAAAAAAAAAAAAAACAGAAUCCCUAACAAGCAUUACAAAAAACAAAAAGAAAAAAGCCCUCAUAAUUCUUGUUACGUGUAAAUAGAAAUUUGACGUAUUUAAAAUAAUGAAAAUAUCACCAUGAUCUCCCUUAUUUAUCUUGUGGUGCGCAUUUGCUUAAAUUUUUACGCCAACUAUUCUUCGUUGCUCCGGACUAAAAUCCAAAUUGAAGUUGCGUAAAAAACGAAGCAGAAAAGAAAAGAAAGAAAGAAAGAAAGCAAAUCUUAACCAAGUAACAAGAACUAUAAGAAGCAAAAUUAUCAAGCUUUUGACUUGCUUGAAUCCAAGUUCGGGCCCUACAAAAUAUUGAACCACAAAAUGUAUUCCAUUUUUACACUAACAUAUGCUUUAAACAUUGUCAAAAACUUCCUUUUACAUAAAAUCAAUACCUUAGCAAGUUCAAAUUGCCAAAUUCAUCUUUUCCAAAUCAUAAAAAUGCACCCCCUAGUUACAUAUAUUCUUGAACUUGAUCCAGCUGAAUCAACCUUAUACAAGCACUCAGCUAGAAAUCAAACAGGGCUCAAGUCAUACAAGUUAAACAAACCAUCCCAGCCACUCAAAACAAGCCAUUCCAAGCUUCUUCUUCUUUCCCCCCCCCCCCCUUGCUCCUGAAAACAAGUAGCAUUGUUCAUUGAUCUGCUACAGAUUGGAGGAGGGAUUUUAAGAAUAGAAGAAAAUAAAUAAGAACCAUGGGUUUAUGAUGAUCUACAUUCUUUUGGCACAAAACUGAAGCUUAUGAGGACGAAUUUUAAUCCUCAGAGUCUCUGCUUUCAGGAAGUACUAUUCCUUCUGAAUUGAUGAACCUGUUUGUUGCACCAAAAAUAUCAGCUAGUUGCAGAACUGUUGUUUGACAUGUAGCAGUCAUUGGCAGGAAUGUAUCUGGAAGGCUAGGGACACAUUCAGGGAGAAACUCAAUCUUUAUGGAUGUUCGAGUAUACAGGCCGAGCACUGCCCGACAAAAUAUGAAUCUGCAAAAGGGCAACAUACUUUCACCUCCAAAACGUAUAUUAUUUUCAAAAAGAGGCUCUUCUAAAGCCAAAGGACAGUCUACUACAAUGAACCCAAAAUUUAAAACCAAAAAAAAAAUAACAAUAAUAAUAAAAUAAAGGAUCUUAAAGCCCAUAAAGCAAUGUGUCUUUCGGAUGUUCCAACAUUUAGCUGCUUUCAAUGUAAAUAGAAGUCAAAACGCUUGAUGUACUGAACUACUGAUAGCUUGAAAUUUCAUGUUCACCAGAGGUCCACAAGUUCAAAUCAAAUAGGUACUAGGCAAAGGAUAAUUGAGAAAAGUAUAAGCAGCACUUAAUUACCUCAGGAGGAGGAGUCUAAUGAAUGGAUCAGCCAAAAUUUGAGCCCAAACAGGAUUAAGAUUGUCUGAUGCAGCCAGUAGUGAUCCCCACUCAUUUAACGAUGAGGAAAGCAACUUCUCAGCUUUAUUAUACAAAUCCUGACAACACAUACUUCUUCUGAGACUUUGCUGAUCCUUAAAGAAAAUUAAACUAAAAAGUGGAAAAAACUGAAGGGAACACUAUUGACUACUAUCUAACCGUCUCAAUAUCAGAGCUGGUAAAACCAAGCAUAAGAAUAAAAGCCUGCAGAGGAGCUGUCAGGAAAUUGGUGAAUGGACUUCCACCAGGCUGGCGAGAAGAGUCAACAACUGAUAUAGGCAAUGAGGCAGUGGGUGACAGGAGCAUGGCAACUGGCUCUCCUUUUUCAGCUCCAUGUAUAGCCUAUCCACGGUGCAUGCCACAACUAGGUGAUGUCAAUAGUUAUCAACUCCUAGAAAUUGAUUUAUCAGUACUUUUAAACGAAACAGAGACUUCCAUUUAAAAUUUUACAAUGUAUUUUCUAAACGAAACAGAGAAUUCCAUUUACAAUUGUUUACGAUGUAUUUUCAAUGUCGAACACAAUACCGAAGCAACUUCAAUGACUGACCAACAGAAACUUCCAUUUCAACUUAGUCGGUGUACAUUAUAAUGUACAGUUUUGAUAGCAAAUGAAUACAAAGGUUUCUCUAUGUGUAUCAUUCACCAGUAAUCACCGCAAGAGCAAGAACCAUCCACAAAAUGGUGAAAUCGGUUUCGAUCCCUCACAAUUAUUUUGCGUCCUGUAAUUUUUGAGAUGAGCUUAGUAACAGUAUGACAAUCUAGACAUACCCUUAGGUUCUUGACAAUCUUAAUAGUAGUUCCCUGACUGGUACUUAUAAGUCCAAAGGCAAUUGCAAGCUUUUCACUAUGAACUUCAAGCGAUCGCUCUUUCUCAGUGUCUCCAAUAUCAUGUAACACUGUGUCUAUCUUAGGUACAUAUCCAUGAGCUUUUAGCCGUCGAUUCAUCUCCUCUAACAUCAUGUAAAUCUCUUUACUAUUCGGGUGUUUCCAGUCACCAGAAAGAAAUUCAUGUACCUUGUUGUCCACCUCAAUUGAACUGCAACCUGGCUCCUUUUGGACCCCACUUUGCUUCAUCAUUGACCUUACUCUUGCAACCCCGUCCCAAUUGCCAGUAGCUGCAUAUAUAUUAGAAAGAAGAACAAAAGUUCCUGAAUUUGCAAUUUUAUGCUCCACAAGAGAUCCCGCAAUAACCUCUGCCAAAUUCAGGUUUCCAUGAAGUCUACAUGCAGCAAGUAGAGUUCCCCAUAAAACAGGAUCCGGGUCAAUCUUCAUGUUCUUAAUGAGCUGAUAUGCAUCUUCCAAGUGCCCAGCACGGCCAAGAAGAUUUACCAUACAUCCAUAAUGCUCAACCUUAGGCUGAAACCCAUAUUCAUCUUUCAUUAAAUUGAAAAAGGCCCAACCUUCAGAGAUCAGUCCAGCAUUAGCACAAGCAUUUAAAAUACCAAGAAAUGUU
rnacentral:lncRNA from 1 species